rnacentral:rRNA from 1 species
CUGCGAGUGAAGCGGGAAAAGCUCAAAUUUAAAAUCUGGUAGUCUUUGGCUGCCCGAGUUGUAAUCUAGAGAAGUAUUAUCCGCGCUGGACCGUGUACAAGUCUCCUGGAACGGAGCGUCAUAGAGGGUGAGAAUCCCGUCUUUGACACGGACUACCAGGGCUUUGUGAUAUGCUCUCAAAGAGUCGAGUUGUUUGGGAAUGCAGCUCUAAAUGGGUGGUAAAUUCCAUCUAAAGCUAAAUAUUGGCGAGAGACCGAUAGCGAACAAGUACCGUGAGGGAAAGAUGAAAAGAACUUUGGAAAGAGAGUUAAACAGUACGUGAAAUUGUUGAAAGGGAAACGCUUGAAGUCAGUCGCGUCUAUUGGGAAUCAGCCUUGCUCUUCUGCUUGGUGUAUUUCCUAAUCGACGGGUCAGCAUCAAUUUUGACCAGUGGAAAAAGGUCAGGGGAAUGUAGCAUCUUCGGAUGUGUUAUAGCCUUUGGUUGCAUACAUUGGUUGGGAUUGAGGAACUCAGUACGCCGAAAGGCCGGGUCUUUGACCACGUUCGUACUUAGGAUGCUGGCAUAAUGGCUUUAAUCGACCCGUCUUGAAACACGGACCAAGGAGUCUAACAUGCCUGCGAGUGUUUGGGUGGAAAACCCAGGCGCGUAAUGAAAGUGAAAGUUAAGAUCCUUGUCGUGGGGAGCAUUGACGCCCGGACCAGACCUUUUGUGACGGAUCCGCGGUAGAGCAUGUAUGUUGGGACCCGAAAGAUGGUGAACUAUGCCUGAAUAGGGUGAAGCCAGAGGAAACUCUUGGUGGAGGCUCGUAGCGAUUCUGACGUGCAAAUCGAUCGUCAAAUUUGGGUAUAGGGGGCGAAAGACUAAUCGAACCAUCUAGUAGCUGGUCU